AGAAAUCAAAUUCAAUCCAGACUUUAAGACAUUUUUAAUGGAAAACUCAAGUUAGGAUAUUUUUCUCCAUCUCAUUCUUGCAGUUGGACCUGCUUAAAAUGAGCAAAGUUGUGAACGAAUAGCCCAUAAUGUACUGGAACUACAUCUUAACAAAGCCAAUUCAAUUCAAAUAUAGUUUAUUAUUAUUAUUAUUAUUGAUAUUAAUAGUAUCAUUAAAAAUGAUAAAUUGAAAUUAUGCUAAAUAAAUAUUGCCAUUUAUGUGAAAUGUACAUUUCAUGGAAAAAUUGCAAAAUGGAAAUAUUAUUUUUCACAAUGAAAAAACUGAAAUGAAAGCAGCUGAUAAUCAUAUGAAAUUAAGAAAUUUACAACUAGAAAAAUUGUCAGUUUCAGUUCAAAAGGAAUUUGAAAUUUUACAAGAGAAAGAAG